UACGUAGGAGGCGAGCGUUGUCCGGAGUUACUGGGCGUAAAGCGCACGCAGGCGGUCCAAUCAGUCUGGAGGGACAGGGCACAGCUUAACUGUGUCAGGCUUACGGAAACUGUUGGACUUGAGGGCUUCAGAGGGAUGGGGAAUUCCGGGUGGAGUGGUGAAAUGCGUAGAGAUCCGGAAGAACACCAAAGGCGAAGGCACCAUCCUGGGGAGUCACUGACGCUCGGGUGCGAAAGCUAGGGGAGCGAACGGG
rnacentral:rRNA from 1 species